UGCCAGCCGCCGCGGUAAUACGGAGGGUGCAAGCGUUGUCCGGAUUCAUUGGGUUUAAAGGGUGCGUAGGCGGUAUUGUAAGUCAGUGGUGAAAUCUUGCGGCUUAACCGUAAAGCUGCCAUUGAUACUGCAGUACUGGAGUUCGUUCGAGGUGGUUGGAAUGCGUAGUGUAGCGGUGAAAUGCAUAGAUAUUACGCAGAACACCGAUUGCGAAGGCAGAUCACUGGGACGAUACUGACGCUGAGGCACGAAAGCGUGGGGAGCGAACAGGAUUAGAUA
rnacentral:rRNA from 1 species